UACGUAGGGUGCAAGCGUUAAUCGGAAUUACUGGGCGUAAAGCGUGCGCAGGCGGUUGUGCAAGACCGAUGGGAAAUCCCCGGGCUUAACCUGGGAAUGGCAUUGGUGACUGCACGGCUAGAGUGUGUCAGAGGGGGGUAGAAUUCCACGUGUAGCAGUGAAAUGCGUAGAUAUGCGGAGGAACACCGAUGGCGAAGGCAAUCCCCUGGACCUGUACUGACGCUCAUGCACGAAAGCGUGGGGAGCAAACAGG
rnacentral:rRNA from 1 species